rnacentral:rRNA from 2 species
GAGUUUGAUCAUGGCUCAGAUUGAACGCUGGCGGCAUGCUUUACACAUGCAAGUCGAACGGCAGCGCGGGCUUCGGCCUGGCGGCGAGUGGCGAACGGGUGAGUAAUACAUCGGAACAUGCCCACUUGUGGGGGAUAGCUCGGCGAAAGCCGGAUUAAUACCGCAUGAGAUCUACGGAUGAAAGCAGGGGACCUUCGGGCCUUGCGCGAGUGGAGUGGCCGAUGGCAGAUUAGGUAGUUGGUGGGGUAAAGGCCUACCAAGCCUGCGAUCUGUAGCUGGUCUGAGAGGACGACCAGCCACACUGGGACUGAGACACGGCCCAGACUCCUACGGGAGGCAGCAGUGGGGAAUUUUGGACAAUGGGCGCAAGCCUGAUCCAGCAAUGCCGCGUGCAGGACGAAGGCCCUCGGGUUGUAAACUGCUUUUGUACAGAACGAAAAGAGCUGGGUUAAUACCCUGGUUUUAUGACGUACUNAAGAAUAAGCCCCG